UCCGGUUUGUCACCGGUAGUCCCAUUAGAGUGCCCAACUGAAUGUGGCAACUAAUGGCAAGGGUUGCGCUCGUUGCGGGACUUAACCCAACAUCUCACGACACGAGCUGACGACAGCCAUGCAGCACCUGUCUCCGCGCCCCUUGCGGGAAGCCGUGUUUCCACGGCGGUCAGGAACAUGUCAAACCCAGGUAAGGUUCUUCGCGUUGCGUCGAAUUAAACCACAUGCUCCGCUGCUUGUGCGGGCCCCCGUCGAUUCCUUUGAGUUUUAGCCUUGCGGCCGUACUCCCCAGGCGGGGCACUUAAUGCGUUAGCUCCGGCACGGGAGGAGUCGACACCUCCCACACCUAGUGCCCAUCGUUUACGGCGUGGACUAC
rnacentral:misc_RNA from 1 species